AAAUUGAAGAGUUUGAUCAUGGCUCAGAUUGAACGCUGGCGGCAGGCCUAACACAUGCAAGUCGAACGGUAACAGGAAGAAGCUUGCUUCUUUGCUGACGAGUGGCGGACGGGUGAGUAAUGUCUGGGAAACUGCCUGAUGGAGGGGGAUAACUACUGGAAACGGUAGCUAAUACCGCAUAACGUCGCAAGACCAAAGAGGGGGACCUUCGGGCCUCUUGCCAUCGGAUGUGCCCAGAUGGGAUUAGCUAGUAGGUGGGGUAACGGCUCACCUAGGCGACGAUCCCUAGCUGG
rnacentral:rRNA from 1 species